rnacentral:rRNA from 1 species
UCGAGCGGCGGACGGGUGAGUAAUGCUUAGGAAUCUGCCCAGUAGUGGGGGAUAGCCCGGGGAAACUCGGAUUAAUACCGCAUACGCCCUUUUGGGGAAAGCAGGGGAUCUUCGGACCUUGCGCUAUUGGAUGAGCCUAAGUCGGAUUAGCUUGUUGGUGAGGUAAAGGCUCACCAAGGCAACGAUCCGUAGCUGGUCUGAGAGGAUGAUCAGCCACAUCGGGACUGAGACACGGCCCGAACUCCUACGGGAGGCAGCAGUGGGGAAUAUUGGACAAUGGGGGCAACCCUGAUCCAGCCAUGCCGCGUGUGUGAAGAAGGCUUUCGGGUUGUAAAGCACUUUCAGUGAGGAGGAAGGCUUUCAGACUAAUACUCUGGAGGAUUGACGUCACUCACAGAAGAAGCACCGGCUAACUCCGUGCCAGCAGCCGCGGUAAUACGGAGGGUGCAAGCGUUAAUCGGAAUUACUGGGCGUAAAGCGCGCGUAGGUGGUUGAGUAAGCGAGAUGUGAAAGCCCCGGGCUUAACCUGGGAACGGCACUUCGAACUGCUCGGCUAGAGUGUGGUAGAGGGUAGUGGAAUUUCCUGUGUAGCGGUGAAA